AUCGAAUUUCGACGGGUCACUUACUAGUUUCUAUUAUUAACAAAAUUUACAAACUUUUAUAAGUAGCAAUCGAUAGUAAUAGCUAUUUUUUUUAAUUUGUCGUUCUCGGAGAAUGUAAGUAGUAAAUUUUGUUACACGUAAAAUAAUUACUUUUCUAACACUUCUAUUGAUCCUACCAAAAUUAUGUCAUUACUCUAUUAUUUCACUGUAGUGAGAAUUUUAAAAAACGUACGUUGUGUCUAUAUACAAGGAAAUGUAAUUCUACAUAUAAAUAAUUACUUUUCUACGUUAGAGAUUAUCAAUGUUUUAAAUAGGAACUAAUUUGUAAUUUAUUGAAUUUCAAAAUAUUACUUUACGUUACAAUUUAUAAGUAAAAUUUAUAAAAAUAAUUUAUACUUGAAUAGUGUUUUGCUAUCUGAUAAAUUGUGACGAUGAACCAAAAUGAUAAAGUUUGUAUAUAGUCAUCAUGUAAAAUUUAUGUACUCGUAUCCAUCCCACCACAGUUAAAAAGUGAUUUUAAAUUAGAGAGAUAAAUGUUCAAACCUAUUUAUAAUGUUUAUUUGUAUUUAUUUAUUUGUUUAAAAUAGUAAAUAUAAGUUGUUAUAAUAUUUCAUUUACAAAAUCAUAGAAAAAAUUUCACAUAUCGAUCAAUAUUUGUACCGAAGUUUAUAUACUCGUACCUAUCCCAAAUUCGAAUAAAAAAUUAUUUUACUACUUGUUCUCGUCUUAGUUCCAUUUAGUAGCACCCUCAAAUUACUUGAAUCCAUUUAAAUUAUAAAAUAUCUAAAUAACCAAAUAUAAGUUUGUACGAUAAUCAGUUAAGAUAAAUAAGCAUAGAGAUUGCAAUACUCAUUCCAAACUUGUAAAAUAAUAUUCUAUAAUCAUUCAAAUAUGUUAAAUUUAUAAUUGUUUGGACCUAUAUUGUUAUGAUUUUCUGGGUGUUUAGGAGUUGUAUUGGUUUAUAUAUUGGUCUCACUCACUCAAGAGUUGAUUGAUUUGAGCUUUUGUGCUAAUUUUAUUGUCUCAAAAUUUUAUGCUUGAAUAGAUUAAUACAUGAACAAAAAUGAAGUCAGAAUUGAGUUGAAUAAUCUGAAGAAUAAUUGAAGCUAAUCUCAAUAUGAGUUCGUGGACGAAAACGGAUCUAAAAUCGGACUUGAAACGAGGGAGAACAGACCAAAAUAAAAACGUUGCACAGUGCAGUGGCCUACGCCCACCGACUCCAAUUAGUGAAGGGGUGCGGCGGCGGCCUCCGUGAGCUGUGGCCACAGCCCACUGCUGCCUCCGCCGUGAGGCGGGCGCUAAGGGCCUGUUUUGGCAGCUUUGUGCGUGAUUUAAGAGGUGAUCACUAAGGCCGUUUUCAUCACAUAUCUCAUUUUUCAGCUUUUAAAAACACUCUCUUCUCUAUAUUUUUCUCCUGAGUACUAGAACAUUUUGGUGGAGUUAAAUAGAGAUUUCAAGCUUGAUACCUUGGAUUAAUCAUAUAAUUCAUAUGUAAGUUUACUUUCUUCCUUUUGCUUUAAAUUAAUCUAUGAUUUUAUGUACAAUUUAAUUACAUAUUUCUUCUAUUGUCUUUCAUAUUAUUCUUUAUAGAUAUUUCAUGCUUUCAAUUCUUGUUUCUAGCCUAGAUAAUUUUUUAUUUAUGUUAUUGGAUUUAUCGCUUUCUAGAUCAUUAGAUUAGAAGCCUAAUUUUAUGAUUUCUUAAUUUUAC
rnacentral:lncRNA from 1 species